UUCCCCGUACGAAUGGAGUAAACUGCAUCAUUGUCAAAACCGACCAGCUGGCUAAUUUGACUUGUUGAUAUCCACGCUUGAUGUGUGCUCCGAAAAGAUAAACUGUCUUGGUGAGAUUCCGUGAAGUGUAGUACUCUCGGGAGUGUCAUUGCUAAACCACACUCUGCUGCCGUCAGAAACUGAAAACAAAUGAAAAAACUUUCAUUAGUUGUAACUUUCUAAGACACCAAUCAAGCAGCAACAUAAAAGUUUAGCCAGAAAAUAGAGAUGCUCAUGUGAGAAAAGCAAAAGUAUUAGAAAAAGUAAGCGUGUAACAAGAAUAACAAGAAAUUAGUAGCAACAUAUAUUUUUGCAUUUUGCGUAUAUUAUAUAUUUUCUGCAAAAUAAUAUUUAAAAUAUAUAAAACAUGAACAGGUAAUAUUCAAACAUGCUAUCUUUAAUGGUCAUAGGUUGGAAAGAUUACCUUUGAAUAUAUUUUGCAAGACUGCCAAAGAAAAAGUUAAUUAAGAGAUACAGAAGUAUUAAAGAAGAAGUUAUUUAAAACUGUUUUGUCAUGUAAUACUUGGCAGGAUAGAUCUUGCAAUAUUACCUUAUUAUCG